rnacentral:rRNA from 1 species
GCAAGGGAGCCAUGACAGGUGCUGCAUGGCUGUCGUCAGCUCGUGCCGUGAGGUGUUCGGUUAAGUCCGCGAACAAGCGCAACCCCUGUUGCCAGUUACAAGUGUCUGGCGAGACUGCCGGUGACAAGCCGGAGGAAGGUGGGAUGACGUCAAGUCAGCAUGGCCUUUAUAUCCAGGGCGACACACACGCUACAAUGGACGGUACAGAGGGCAGCGAGACCGCGAGGUGGAGCGAAUCCCAGAAAGCCGUUCUCAGUUCGGAUUGCAGGCUGCAACUCGCCUGCAUGAAGUCGGAGUUGCUAGUAAUCGCGCGUCAGCCACAGUGCGGUGAAUACGGUUCCCGGGCUUU